AUGGAUGCACCACAUAACAGAGGAACUGAUCCCCCAUGCCUUUCUGGAAGGCAGCUGAACAUUGCCCUUACCAUACAGAUGAUCCUGUUGCUUCCCUUAAGAGUACAAACACACCAGGAAACACAAAUGGAGAAAAGUCGUUCUGCAUCAGGACAGGCUCUUCUUCCCCUCACGCAGUGGAAAUUCAUCAGCUUCAUUCAAAAGAGUUGCAUCAGGUGGGAGAACAGCACAGCCCCUGAAGGUCAGUGGGGCAACAUCAGAGCAACCUGGGCACUUCAGAAAUGUCACUGCUACACAUUUCCCACUACUGACAGAGCAGAUUUGGGUUGGGCACCCCAGGGAACACACUGACUGAAUGGACUUACCAUCAGUGCAAAUGCUUGGGAAGCAUCCGACCCUCUUUGCUUCAGGCACCAUCUAAAGAGAGAUGCCACACAACUAUUCAUUUCCUCAUCACCUGCAGGUUUGCAAACUUUCAUCUAUUUCUCAGGCAAAAAACAUGCUUUACUUUAUAAACACACUUUAUAAAUUCUUACCUCUGCUACAGGACUGGCCGUACUCGGUUGUAUCCCUUCUACCUUUCUUCUUGCUAGAUAAAAAUGAACCAGACUCCUCUUGCCUUUUCUUUUAUGAUAGGGGUAUUAAGAAGCUCAGGGGAAGGAAGAUGCUGUGUGCCACUGAUCCAAUUAGAAUUCCUCUUAUCUGACCAUGGGGGGCCAAAAUUGCUCACAGCAUCCCAGAUGCACUGGCAGGCAAAAGCUCUGCUACUGCUAGAGGUACUCAUCUGUUUACUUUAUUUCAAAACCAUAACUGCUACUUCAUUUUGGAAGAAAUUAAAGUUAUUAGGUUAUUUAAAACCCAUUUUAACAUAAGGAAGGUAAUUAAAUCAACUUCUCAAAACUUAGAGCAUCUGUGCGUUUUUAGCCAACAAUUCAUUUUGAUAUUGCUUUAUGAAAGCAGUUCUCCUCAGCUGUACUUCCUAAUUGUGUAGCAUUUAUUUUCAAAUGCAGCUCAGGUUAACCACAGACAGUAGAAAGCCCUUCACCUAAAGCAUCCAUCUAACUGCUUGAGUGUGGCAACAGCACAGAAAAGGCUACAGUUUUCCAAAUCCUCGUAUGAAGAGGAAAAAGUUGCUUCUUUAACCAGUGCUAUAAGCAUCAAAAAACACAUCUCCCUCAGAACAUGAGUGAAGGGUCCCACAUACAGGAGUAUGAGUGGCUGUAGCCAUCGUAAUUAUCCCUGUAAUAAAUACUACUUUCAUUUUCA
rnacentral:lncRNA from 1 species